AUUGAACGCUGGCGGCAUGCCUUACACACGCAAGUCGAACGGCAGCACGGGCGCAAUCCUGGUGGCGAGUGGCGAACGGGUGAGUAAUAUAUCGGAACGUGCCCAGUAGUGGGGGGUAACUGCUCGAAAGAGCAGCUAAUACCGCAUACGACCUGAGGGGGAAAGGGGGGGAUCGCAAGACCUCUCGCUAUUGGAGCGGCCGAUAUCAGAUUAGCUAGUUGGUGGGGUAAAGGCCUACCAAGGCAACGAUCUGUAGUUGGUCUGAGAGGACGACCAGCCACACUGGGACUGAGACACGGCCCAGACUCCUACGGGAGGCAGCAGUGGGGAAUUUUGGACAAUGGGCGCAAGCCUGAUCCAGCAAUGCCGCGUGCAGGAAGAAGGCCUUCGGGUUGUAAACUGCUUUUGUCAGGGAAGAAAUCCUCUAGGUUAAUACCCUUGGGGGGAUGACGGUACCUGAAGAAUAAGCACCGGCUAACUACGUGCCAGCCGCCGCCGUAAAAC
rnacentral:rRNA from 1 species